AUACGGAGGAUCCGAGCGUUAUCCGGAUUUAUUGGGUUUAAAGGGUGCGCAGGCGGGGGAUUAAGUCGGCGGGGAAAUUUUUCCGAUCAACUGUAAAAGUGCCUUUGAAACUGGGUUCCUUGAGUGUAGAUGAAGGAGGGGGAAUUUUUGGGGUGGCGGGGAAAUGCAUAGAUAUCACGAGGAACUCCGAUUGCGCAGGCAGCUUACUAAACUACUACUGACGCUCAGGCACGAAGGCGUGGGGAUCAAACAGGAUUGGAUACCCUGGUAGUCCACGCAGUAAACGAUGAUUACUAGCUGUUUGCGAUACAAUGUAAGCGGCUGAGCGAAAGCGUUAAGUAAUCCACCUGGGGAGUACGUUCGCAAGAAUGAAACUCAAAUGAAUUGGCGGGG
rnacentral:rRNA from 1 species